rnacentral:rRNA from 1 species
AGUGAACGCUGGCGGCGUGCCUAAUACAUGCAAGUCGAACGAAGUGGCGCACGGGUGAGUAAUAUAUAGUUAAUCUGCCCUACCCAGAGGAACAACAGUUGGAAACGGCUGCUAAUACCUCAUAGUGUAGGAUGAGACUAUAUCGUAUCAGCUAGUUGGUAAGGUAAUGGCUUACCAAGGCUAUGACGCGUAACUGGUCUAAGAGGAUGAGCAGUAACAUUGGAACUGAGACACGGGCCAAACUCAUUGUGGAGGGAGCAGUAAGGAAUAGUGCGCAAGGGGGGAAAACGUGACGAAGCAACGCCGCGUGGAGGAUGACAAGUUUCGGAGCGGAAACUCCGUUUAUCAGGAAAGCGGUACCUGAUGAAGAAGCACCGGCUAACUCCGUGCCAGCAGCCGCGGUAAUAC